rnacentral:rRNA from 1 species
CCUACGGGAGGCAGCAGUGGGGAAUAUUGCACAAUGGGGGAACCCCUGAUGCAGCGACGCCGCGUGAGUGAAGAAGUAAUUCGUUAUGUAAAGCUCUAUCAGCAGGGAAGAAAAUGACGGUACCUGCGUACGAAGCCCCGGCUAACUACGUGCCAGCAGCCGCGGUAAUACGUAGGGGGCAAGCGUUAUCCGGAUUUACUGGGUGUAAAGGGAGCGUAGACGGCAGUGCACGUCUGGAGUGAAAGGCGGGGGCUCAACCCCCGGACUGCUCUGGAAACUGUACGGCUUGAGUGCAGGAGAGGUAAGUGGAAUUCCUAGUGUAGCGGUGAAAUGCGGAGAGAUUAGGAGGAACACCAGUGGCGAAGGCGGCUUACUGGACUGUAACGGACGUUGAGGCUCGAAAGCGUGGGGAGCAAACAGGAUUAGAUACCCGAGUAGUC